rnacentral:rRNA from 1 species
GACGAACGCUAUCGGUGUGCUUAACACAUGCAAGUCGGACGGACUAAUUAGGGCUUGCUCGAAUUCGUUAGUGGCAGACGGGUGAGUAACACGUGGGAAUCUUCCCCUCAGUACGGAAUAACUUUUAGGAAUAAAAGCUAAUACCGUGUAUUCUCUACAGAGUACAGAUUUAUGGCUGAUGGAUGAGGCCGCGUCAGAUUAGGUAGUGGGUGAGGUAACGGAUGACUAAGCCGGGUAGCUGUCGCUGGUCUGAGAGGAUGAUCAGCCACACUGGGACUGAGACACGGCUCAGACUCCUACGAGAGGCAGCAGUGGGGAAUAUUGGACAAUGAGCGAAAGCCUGAUACAGCGAUACCGAGUGAGUGAUAAAGGCCCUAGGGUUGUAAAGCUCUUUUAGCAAGGAAGAUAAUGACGUUACUUGCAGAAAAAGCCCCGGUUAACUCCGU